AGAAAUUGUUUGAAUAAGAAGAGUAGCAUUAGUUUGCAAUGAAGAGAGUCAGUGGUUGGUGAGAACUGAUUUGUAUCUAGUGUGAAUGGACUUAUGAGAGCUAUCUUGAGAACGACUAUUCGUUUUAGAGGUAGACGUAUUUCCUACGUUACAGGAUAAUGAAGUGGGAGCAUUAAGCUCCAACUAGAGGUGGCAACGCGGUCAAAACCGUCCUCUUC
rnacentral:ncRNA from 1 species